rnacentral:rRNA from 1 species
GACGAACGCUGGCGGCGUGCCUAAUACAUGCAAGUUGAGCGCUGAAGGUUGGUACUUGUACCAACUGGAUGAGCAGCGAACGGGUGAGUAACGCGUGGGGAAUCUGCCUUUGAGCGGGGGACAACAUUUGGAAACGAAUGCUAAUACCGCAUAAAAACUUUAAACACAAGUUUUAAGUUUGAAAGAUGCAAUUGCAUCACUCAAAGAUGAUCCCGCGUUGUAUUAGCUAGUUGGUGAGGUAAAGGCUCACCAAGGCGAUGAUACAUAGCCGACCUGAGAGGGUGAUCGGCCACAUUGGGACUGAGACACGGCCCAAACUCCUACGGGAGGCAGCAGUAUGGAAUCUUCGGCAAUGCACGAAAGUCUGACCGAGCAACGCCGCGUGAGUGAAGAAGGUUUUCGGAUCGUAAAACUCUGUUGGUAGAGAAGAACGUUGGUGAGAGUGGAAAGCUCAUCAAGUGACGGUAACUACCCAGAAAGGGACGGCUAACUACGUG